GAAGAGAAUCAUUUUUAUUACUUUCUUAGCAGAAAGGGUGGAGUGGCUUGCUCGUUUGAAACCCCAGGGGAAAGAAAAAAGAAACUCAAUAUUCUUCCAAAGCUCAAGAUACCCUCCUGGGAGAAAGGUGGUUGCCAGACAGAGCUCUGCAGAUCUUCCAUGGACAGGCUGGGGGAGCUUACACUGACAAAUCUUUUCUGGUGAUGAAAGCAUGAUAGUAGCUGCCAGAAUGAAACCUGACUCUUCUAAGGAGCCUCUAAAACAGAGAUUCCUUCCACAGUUAAUAAACAAAUGUUAUUAAACAACUUAAUAACAACCAAACUCAAUAAACUAA